rnacentral:rRNA from 1 species
UACGUAGGCAGCAAGCGUUGUUCGGAGUUACUGGGCGUAAAGAGUGCGUAGGUGGUGCCCUAAGUCUGUUGUGAAAUCUCCCGGCUUAACUGGGAGGGUGCGGUGGAAACUGGGGUGCUUGAGUGUGGGAGAGGUAAGCGGAAUUCCAGGUGUAGCGGUGAAAUGACGUAGAUAUCUGGAGGAACACCGGUGGCGAAGGCGGCAUCCUGGACCAAUAUUGACGCUGAGGAGCGAAAGCUAGGGGAGCAAACGGG